ensembl:lncRNA
ACAACUACAAGGAGUUGAUGGGGAAAAAAGAAGCCUUCCUCAAGGAUGAGGACAUCUGGCACAUGGCAGUUGCAAGAAGGACCACACCUUGUACCACAACACAUGAUGGAAGCAAACCAAAGAAAAAAAGAAUUACGGCAACUUCCAGUCUCACUUCAGAUGAUGAUGAAACACAGAUUGACCCAUCACGAGUUCUUCAAACAAAUAAGCCGAAGAUGACAAAGGCUGCAAGAGACCGAGCCCUUGCCCAACUGAAAUCCUCGCUGCUGAGAAGAAAGCAAACAACCUCCACCCCCUUGACAAAUGAAGACGAUACAGACAUAGACACCAAUGUGGACUUAUUUGACCCACCUCAGGCUUCGGGAUCAAGUGACCUCUCCCAAGGGGAAAGUGAAGAGGAGAGUGUCCUGAUGGAUCAGCCCAGAUCCAGUGUUGGCAUGCAACAGGAAGUGAUGGAUGCUCUGAAAGAAAUACCAGCCUUAGUCAAGUGUGUCAAAGAUCUUAUUGCAACCAUGAAGAGAAUGCCACCUGUCAUGGACACUGACAGUACAUGUUCUGGCUCUUCCAGUCCAGCUCCAGAAAUGUCUCGACCCACAUACUGUACU